GAAAUUAAUAAUCUGUGGUGAUAAACAGAAUGUAAAAUUUGUUGGAAUGUUCAUUUUAGAACAGGACAGUGCAGAAGUACCCCAGUGACACUGAUGAAUGGUUUUUCUGACCAAAGCCAAGACAAAAAAUGAAUAGCCUUACCUGUGUUCUUAAAUCUCAGCAUCUUUUGGUGGUUUUGAUGCAAUUCUUUUCUGCUUUUCCUAGAAAUAAAUGGACUCUUUGUCUCUUAAAGGGCUAGGGCUCCAGGGGCUUUAAUAGUCAGUUUCUCUUUAGAGUUGCACAAGACUUACUUGCUUUCAAUACGAGGUUUUCUGGUUGUCUUCCCAGUCCACAACUAUCACUAUUAAUACCGGGAUGUAGUGGUCACCUGUGUGAGAAGUUCCCAUUGGUUUGUGCUUUGCUCUUGAUGCACUUUGUGUUUAUUUUACUUUUGAUAUAUUCGAGUUAAUUGACUGUGAUUUGAAAUAAUCAGUUAGGUGUUUGUGCUAACUACGCAAAAUGCUUUUUAAGCACAGAUUUUUGUUCCUGGUUAUGGUCUGUUUCCUGCAGGUGUCCAAGUGUUUGGAUGUCCACUGGAAGAGUUAGCAUUGGAAGGGGAGUCUGAUGGUUAAGGAUGUUAAAGUUCAGAUUUUGUUUUCCCAUCAAUUUCCUGUGGGGCUUUGGAAAAUGCUACUUAUGUCUAUAGAAAUAUAAAACAAAGCAGAAAAAAAGUCCUAAUUUUAUAAGUUGCACAGUGCUGCACUGGUAAUCUGAUCUAAAUAAUUUGGAUCUACAUUACCAUAUUUUCACUUUCUGGUCUAAUUGCAAAUAAAAAAGUACAUAAUUUUCUUCAUUGUCCUGAACUUUGCUGUCAGUACUUCCAGAUUCUUUUGUUCUGGAUGCCUGAACAAGUUCAAGUGUGUCAGUUGUUUUGUAAACUCCCUGUUGAUAAUGCCAUUGUUAUUAUUCAAAGGAUUGAAUUAAACCUUUCUCUCAAAAGGACCAGGAGCUGGGACAGUGAAAUAGACUUCAUUGUCCAGGAUAAAAGUGAUACCAUUAGUACUGGAAAUAAAAUGCAAAUACUUCCAAAUUGGAGACACAGAAACAGGAAUAUUUGUGUUCUAUGAUAUUGGUGUCCUCAGAGAUUUUUCUAGACUUGAACUAGUGCUCUUUAUUUUUUUACAGAACCAGAUACACCCAGCGAAUCUUGUUUUGUUUUGUUUUUAAUGAGUGGGAGAUGAUGUCGACGUUACACUUCAACAGCCCAAAAGUAUUUUACUAAUUAGUAAUCUUUAAGGACUGUGAGUUAACUGCAGCAAUAACUGUCCAACAGACCUCAGGCACAAAAAAAUAAAGGAGGUAUGAUUUGUCAGUGUACUUCUGAACCUGUAUAAACAACUUCUGUCUCCUGACACCGGAUGAUUAGUGUAAGUUGUUGCAUGGCUUCAGGCAGACCGCCUUUCUUUUCAACUCUUGGAAAUGUCUAGCUUGUUCUAUUCCAGUAGUUGUAGCAUGGAAAAACAAUGGUUUGGGAAGAUUACCAUAUGUGUAUUUUGCCUUCAGCUGAAAAAAAGACCUAAUAAAUGCUUGUUUCUGUAAGCCCUUGGGUAAAAAGCAAUGAAGCCACUUAAAUAAAAAACUAAAACAAAACCAAAAAAACACAACUAAUACGGAAUAAACUAAUUUCAAAUGUUCACUUGGUAAUACUUUCAUCAAAAAUUAUAUUCAAAAUGCAGAAAAUUACCUCAUAACUAGUCUGCAGUGUUGUCCCCAAGUUCCAACUGUUACUGUGAUAAAGGAGACUUCAUCAUUUUUACUUACAAAGUGUACAGUGUCCUGGGAGUUAUUGGAGUUAUAUAUAUGGAUUAUAUUUUGUUCAGUUUUGUUCCUGCCCCAUUGAUCCCUCUUUUAGCUAGUAUUUAGUCCUAAAACUCUUCAACGUGCUUUUUGGUGUUUUGGGUUUUGUUUUGUUUUCCAGAUAGGUACUACUCUUGCUUUUGUACAAAAAUCCCUUAGUCCACAUGGACCUUUGAUUAAUGCAGUGAGAUGUCUGUGUUUUGUUUGGAUGUUGUUAUUUCAGUUCUCAGGUUGUAGUGAGGAGCUUAAUGAAGUCCUGUGGGUAAUUUAAAUGUGGGAUGUUACCCGUCCUAUUACUAAAAUAUGUAGCUUUUAAACAGAUUACAGAUAAAAAGUGAGGUCUUACUUUGAUCCAGUUAGGUGAUGAUGAUGGUUAUUUUCUCAGUGCAUGGGAAAUGCAAGUUCUGUUGCAUUCCUUAAUCAUUCUUGUAGUUUUUGAUUAUACAUUGAACUCAAAAGCUUAAUACAGUAAGAUUUUAAAUACUUGUAUUAAACUUGUUAUUGGUAUUUGACUCCUUUUUCUAAACAUGGUAAUCAGUAGACAUAAGUUUUCAAAACCUGAAUCAACAAAGU